rnacentral:rRNA from 1 species
ACGCUGGCGGCGUGCUUAACACAUGCAAGUCGAACGAAGCUGUUGUUUGGAGACCUUCGGGUGGAAGAAUAACAGACUGAGUGGCGGACGGGUGAGUAACGCGUGGGUAACCUACCUCGCACAGGGGGACAACAGUUGGAAACGACUGCUAAUACCGCAUAAGACCACAGUACCGCAUGGUACAGGGGUAAAAACUGAGGUGGUGCAAGAUGGACCCGCGUCUGAUUAGCUAGUUGGUGGGGUAAAGGCCUACCAAGGCGACGAUCAGUAGCCGACCUGAGAGGGUGAUCGGCCACAUUGGGACUGAGACACGGCCCAAACUCCCACGGGAGGCAGCAGUGGGGAAUAUUGGACAAUGGGGGGAACCCUGAUCCAGCGACGCCGCGUGAGUGAAGAAGUAUUUCGGUAUGUAAAGCUCUAUCAGCAGGGAAGAAAAUGACGGUACCUGACUAAGAAGCCCCGGCUAACUACGUGCCAGCAGCCGCGGUAAUACGUAGGGGGCAAGCGUUAUCCGGAUUUACUGGGUGUAAAGGGAGCGCAGACGGCUUGGCAAGUCUGAAGUGAAAGCCCGGGGCUUAACCCCGGGACUGCUUUGGAAACUGUGAAGCUAGAGUGUCGGAGAGGUAAGUGGAAUUCCCAGUGUAGCGGUGAAAUGCGUAGAUAUUGGGAGGAACACCGGUGGCGAAGGCGGCUUACUGGACGAUAACUGACGUUGAGGCUCGAAGGCGUGGGGAGCAAACAGGAUUAGAUACCCUGGUAGUCCACGCGGUAAACGAUGAAUACUAGGUGUCGGGGGACAUAGUCUUUCGGUGCCGCCGCUAACGCAUUAAGUAUUCCACCUGGGGAGUACGUUCGCAGGAAUGAACUCAAAGGAAUUGACGGGGACCCGCACAAGCGGUGGAGC